UACGUAGGCAGCAAGCGUUGUUCGGAGUUACUGGGCGUAAAGAGUAUGUAGGCGGUUGGGUAAGUUUGGUGUGAAAUCUCCCGGCUUAACUGGGAGGGUGCGCUAAAGACUGCCUGGCUCGAGUGUGGGAGAGGAAAGCGGAAUUCCUGGUGUAGCGGUGAAAUGCGUAGAUAUCAGGAGGAACACCUGCGGUGUAGACGGCUUUCUGGACCAUUACUGACACUGAGACACGAAAGCGUGGGUAGCAAACAGG
rnacentral:rRNA from 1 species